UCCGGUUGAUCCCGCCGGACCUGACUGCUAUCGGAAUGAUACUAAGCCAUGCGAGUCAUUGUAGCAAUACAAGGCAGACGGCUCAGUAACGCGUAGUCAAUCUACCCUAUGGACGGAGAUAAUCUCGGGAAACUGAGAAUAAUAUCCGAUAGAACAUUAUGCCUGGAAUGGUUUAUGUUUCAAAUGAUUUAUCGCCAUAGGAUGGGACUGCGUCCUAUCAGUUUGUUGGUGAGGUAAUGGCCCACCAAGACUAUUACAGGUACGGGCUCUGAGAGGAGUAGCCCGGAGAUGGGUACUGAGACACGGACCCAGGCCCUAUGGGGCGCAGCAGGCGAGAAAACUUUGCAAUGUGCGAAAGCACGACAAGGUUAAUCCGAGUGGUUUCUGCUAAAGAAACCUUUUGUCAGUCCUAGAAACACUAACGAAUAAGGGGUGGGCAAGUUCUGGUGUCAGCCGCCGCGGUAAAACCAGCACCUCAAGUGGUCAGGAUGAUUAUUGGGCCUAAAGCAUCCGUAGCUUGCUUUGUAAGUUCUCGGUUAAAUCCAUACGCUUAACGUAUGGGCUGCCGGCAAUACUGCAAAGCUAGGGAGUGGGAGAGGUAGACGGUACUCGGUAGGAAGGGGUAAAAUCCUUUGAUCUAUUGAUGACCACCUGUGGCGAAGGCGGUCUACCAGAACACGUCCGACGGUGAGGGAUGAAAGCUGGGGGAGCAAACCGGAUUAGAUACCCGGGUAGUCCCAGCUGUAAACUAUGCAAACUCAGUGAUGCAUUGGCUUGUGGCCAAUGCAGUGCUGCAGGGAAGCCGUUAAGUUUGCCGCCUGGGAAGUACGUACGCAAAGUAUGAAACUUAAAGGAAUUGGCGGGGGAGCACCCACAAGGGGUGAAGCCUGCGGUUCAAUUGGAGUCAACGCC
rnacentral:rRNA from 1 species